rnacentral:rRNA from 1 species
CCUACGGGAGGCAGCAGUGGGGAAUAUUGCACAAUGGGCGAAAGCCUGAUGCAGCAACGCCGCGUGAGCGAUGAAGGCCUUCGGGUCGUAAAGCUCUGUCCUCAAGGAAGAUAAUGACGGUACUUGAGGAGGAAGCUCCGGCUAACUACGUGCCAGCAGCCGCGGUAAUACGAGGGGGGCUAGCGUUAUCCGGAAUUUCUGGGCGAAAAGGGUGCGUAGGUGGUUUCUUAGGUCAGAGGGGAAAGGCUAGGGGUCAACCGGAGUAAGCAUUGGACACUGGGAAACUUGAGUGCAGGAGAGGAGAGUGGAAUUCCUGGUGUAGCGGUGAAAUGCGUAGAUAUUAGGAGGAACACCAGUUGCGAAGGCGGCUCUCUGGACUGUAACUGACACUGAGGCACGAAAGCGUGGGGAGCAAACAGGAUUAGAUACCCGGGUAGUC